UCCGGUUUGUCACCGGCAGUCUCAUUAGAGUGCCCAACUGAAUGUAGCAACUAAUGACAAGGGUUGCGCUCGUUGCGGGACUUAACCCAACAUCUCACGGCACGAGCUGACGACAGCCAUGCAGCACCUGAACCAGCGGUCCCCGAAGGGAAAAUCCUAUUUCUAGGACGAUCCACUGUUGUCUAGUUCAGGUAAGGUUCUUCGCGUUGCGUCGAAUUAAACCACAUGCUCCACCGCUUGUGCAGGCCCCCGUCAAUUUCUUUGAGUUUUAACCUUGCGGCCGUACUCCCCAGGCGGAUAACUUAAUGCGUUAGCUUCGGCACGGAGGGAGUUGACACCCCCCACACCUAGCACCCAUCGUUUACGGCGUGGACUAC
rnacentral:misc_RNA from 1 species